GUUCCGCAAUUAGGCACCGAGAGUCGGUGGUUUACUUAAACACACUGAUCAGCUGACGAGUUGGACCUACCUCUCUAAACUAUAUUUCGCAACUCUCGGGCCCGAAAGUCAACGCCCGUGGUGGGCCCUCCGGCGGCCGCGGCCGCGAGUCGGCAGCGGCCGCCGACCGGUCGGGCCCGGUGACAAAGUCCAGGUACCCGGGGGCGGCCCCGAGGGCCGAUCGCUCCGAGCCGAGACACCGAUUCGUGGCACCAAUACGUAUGUGAUUGUGAGAUCGGCGCCCAGGGCGCCGAUUUCAGCCGUUCGGCCGGGUAUUUACCUCCUCCGUAGUGUGACCUCUUCGUGGUGCCAUUUUCCGUUUCACUGUCCAGCGGCCUCUUUCUGGAAUCGGGCAUUUCUGGGGACGGACACGUCUCCAUACCCGAGUCAGCCGCCAUCUUUGACUGCUGCCACUGCAUUCCAGUCGGGCGGAGUGCGGCGCGGUAGACGGGGAGAGCACAUUGCCUACUUUACAGGCGGCACCGACUCUGCUUAUUAUAAACCUUGAGCCACGCAACUUGGAAAUUAAGAAAGUUGUGUUAUCUUUAUAACAGUUAAACCGCACAACAUCCCCGGCAUCAUUGACGUUGGCGUGUCGCCUUGUUUUGCUUGCGACAAGAAGUCCUUUCUCCUCUGGGCAAGUUUUGCGCAAUACAGGCACGUAUGCGCGCUUCAGUAAUGGCGCGCUUGGCCCAGCUUGGCGCCUGUCGCUAGCUCUCUGCGAAAUCAUCGCUGCGCUCAAAGAGUUUUCUGCAGAGGCAGCACUGAUCAACCAGAAGCUGGGCGCAUAGGCCGCAGCACACAGUUGUCCACACCUCGUGCGACGCCUGCGGAUUUGCUCUGCCGCAACCACACGCGCUAUACUGACGAGGCAAAUUAAUUUUAACUCUCAUUAUGCUCCAUAAUGCAGAUAAAAUGCGUUCGGUGCAAUUUAAAACGGUUUCUUCCUAAAGCAUCUAAUGCUUUUGCGUUUUUUUUUUUGUUACAAUGAAAUUAAUUAUAUACAUUUUAAUGAAAAUAUUUAAAGCCUUAGAAUUUAUAAAUAUUGUAAUUAUAAUAAAUUGAAAAUAAUAAUUUCUUUUGGAUAAAAAAUAAAAGAAAAGUUUGAAAAUAUAUUAUAUUAUUAAGUUAUUUUUUGUUUCGAUAAAAUAAAAUUGUAAGUUGAAUAGGAAAACUGCAAAUUAUGUUUUCGCCUUUACAUUGAAUUUAUUGAUUAUGGAUGUAGGUACAUUACCCUAUGACAUAAAGUGUUUUUAAUUUUUGUAUUUUAACGUCUAGAUAGACUUUUCAUUAAUUAAGGAGUGCAACUUUUACAAGAUUCACCUAGACACCUAUGUGAGUUUUAACUUUGAAGAAAUAAAUAAACUUAAGGGAACUCAAAAGCGUGCGUAAUUAAAAGGUGCUUGCCUUAAUAGAAUGGUACAUUUUUUUAAGGUGCGUUUAAAUUUGAUUAUUUAGAGGAUUGUAAUUUCAAUCCAAACCGAAAUCAAAUUUCUUUUCAGUGCUAAGACCAUCAAUGCCCUGGUUACUGUAGUAAUAGAACCAGUAGACUAGGUUAAACACAAUGUAGAAGAUCGGCAAAAAGACGACAAAAGCAGACUCGAAGAGAGAGUUGGCUGGAAAAUUCAUGAAACCAACUACCUUGGCAGCAUCGUCGUCAAUGUCCAUCUAAAAUUUUAUACAGAAAUAUUUAAAUAAAUUAA